GAAAAAGUGAGGGCCUUAACCUCUAGAGCGUGGAGCUACCAUAGCGCACGCGCAGGUCGGGCGUCGGGGCGAGAAGGUCCGGGUGCGUAAGUCCUUGACGUCCUCUUCGUUGCUUUCUCACAAAGUUCUCUUCGCACCUACGUAUCUGCAGCUCUGGUUAUCUUGGCGACGGCAGUCCUAGGUAACGGGUCUGAGCCACCCGGCCCAGACCACCGUAGUCAGCCCUGGAGCUUUCUAGUGGCUUCGUCCCUGGAUGGCUUUUUGUUUUAUCAAAAGCCCUCUCUGAAGGGGAUCGGAGCAUUUAAAAGAGGACGCGAUUGGAGUAUUUGCUUGGGUUUAUAAAACCGCGAGUUUCUUUAAAAUGAAUGUCAAGGUGCAAACACAAACAAGGUGUUAAGUGAGAAACAUGAUUGCUGCGACCCAUUUGUACUGAUUCGAUAAUAAAUCAUCUGAUUUACUUAACCCUAUUGUUUGGCCUUUUCUUAAUCUAUUACUAUUUUUCUUCCAUUAAUGUUCUUGUUUUUACCAUGUUUUCAGUGAUCACUGAGUGAUCACGUCUCUCUCUUGCGCAGAUUGAAGAAGUCUGUUGUAAUAAGUAGUAGCUCCUUAUUUUACAGUUGAUAAAAAACACCAAUAAUAUUCAAAACUUUGUGUAUAGUCUAAACUUGAAGGACAGCUUGGCUGGUUACAAUCCUAGGCUCACAUAUUUUUCUUGAGUACAUGAUGAGGCAAAUGUAGUUAUACGGUUGUGAGCAUGCAAAAGUUUAUUCAUGUAUUAUUUUUAUUAAUGUAUUACUUUCUAUGAACAACUGUAAACCUACUUUUGCCCCACCCUGUACAUAUUAAUUAAGGUCAUUUCACCGUUGUGAUGUUGAAUGUUGCUGUAAGUAAAUAUGAGUAUAAUUAUUUUGUCCUUAUAAGUAAGUUAUUUUGUCAAAAGAAACACCUCAGUAAAUUAUAACAUUACUACAAAAUGAAAUCCUAUGCAGGCACUUUAAAACUGCCAAGUAUUUAAUUACUGAUGGAAAUAUUCAUGGUAUAUAAAGUUACUAAAUCUUGAUACCAAGGUAAUAAAGGUGUAGAGGGUAAAACCCAACUAAAAGGUAAAUAGUGGUAACUUCUGUUAACCUAAUGGGGGAUGUUUUUUCUCUACAUCUUUGUAAUUUUUCUGUAUUUUCCAAAAUUUCUGCAAUAAGCAUGUAUUUGUAAAAUUCUCUUUAAAAUUAUAUACAAUCCACAUUAUAUUGGCAUCUUUGAAAUCCAGGGCAGACAGUAAGCCUCAUCAUUUAUAAACAGAUACCCAGACUUUAUUUUCUUUAAGACUUUGUCUGCAGUCAUACCUUUGGGAAGGUAAGUCAAGGAAAGGGAAACAAAAGGAGUGCUUGGGCCUCAUAAUUAAGUGUACUUCAAUUAAAUGUACCUUACAAUUAAAUGUACUUGCAAAAUGACUGCAAGUCUCAAGAUGUGAGCCAAUCAAACAAAUAUUUAUCUAGAAAAUAACAAACUUGCCUAGUUUUGCUCUUGUGCAACAUCCAUUAUUUUUCAAAUUCUCAGCACUGGCAACAUAGGUAGGAUUAUAUACACUGUUUUAAUCUCUCUGAGUUUACUUUCAACCUCAGGCUGAAAUGGAAAAUAUUCAUCUGUCACAGUUAAUGAAGAAGGCAUGGGCUUCUUUCAUUUCGCUAAUUCUGUUGAUUAGUGAAAAUGUACACAACAAUAUUGGGCAUAAGGCACAAAGCAUAAGGCAAGUCUUUUCCUCCCCCUUUCUGCCUAUAUCAUCAUACCCACUAUUUGUGACAGUUUAUGUAAUUUGCUAUUCCAGCCUUUUGUCUAAAUAGGAUCAGUAUUUUGCCUUCAGUUAUUCGUUUGUUUUAGUGGUCUGAGUCAUCUCCAUAUAUUUAUCUGCUUCCUUUUUCUUUAGUUUUGUUUGUCCAUAGGGAAGAUUUACUCCUUGUCUCUUUUUUAUUAGAAAUUCCAUUUUGACUGAAACAUAGACUUUUCAAACAAGAAUCUAAAAAGAAACUUUUUGAGAUUCUUGUCUAAAACUUAUAGUUCAGAUACAAGCUUCUCAAAAUCAGAGACUGUUUUUGUUUUCUGUAUCUCCAACACCUGGCAAAAGUACUUAGGACAUGAAAGAUGUUCAAUAAAUCUUGUUGAACUAACCUGACCUACUCAAUGAAUCAUUUUACUGGGAGAGAUGACUUGCCAACAAACAAUUGAAAUAUAGUGAGUGUCCAUCUACUAAAGAAUCAAACUAUGCUGCAACUCACAGGAAAAGCAUCUUGUAUUUGGCAGAUCUGCUUAUUGUACCGCUUCUGCUUAUUCACAGUGAAAAACACCAUAUUUUUAACAAAAAAGGAAAUGCAGAAGUGAAAACUAUUUAAAAGCAAACAAUUUAAAAUAAGAUGGAAUAGUCACUUUAAAAUAUUUUAAUUUUAUGCAUAUUAUGUUCUAACUCAAAAAAGAAUAUUGCACAGUGCUUUUAUAUCACAAUUGUUAUUUUUCUCACUCCAGUGAGAUUUUGAUAAACAAAGUUGACUUUGGAAAUAACAUAGAGAAUGUCUUGAUUGGUUAAAUAAUUUCAAUGACCUGUGAUGAACUGAAAGCAGGAUAUCACAUUCAUAUAAAAGACAAGUACAUAUUCAUAAAUUCACUUGGCUAUAGUGAAAAAUAAAUUUCUCAUGUACUUAAUAAAACUUAAAGUAGAGAAAAUUGAGAAUGCUGUGAAAGUAGAAUGUAACUCCACAACUUUUCAGUGUACUCAUUUGCUUCCAAAAAUCCAUUAAACCUGCAAGACUUCAAGAAUAUCUGAUCACAUUGUAAUCUUCUUAUACUGGAGAAGCUUACAUCUGAUAUUUUUAAAUCUAGAUUAAAACUAUUUUUAAAUCUAGAUUAUAUAAAUAUAUGUCUGUACUGUGAACAAAAUCUGUGAAUGGUAAGGUAAAGCUAACCAAAUAACAUAAA